rnacentral:rRNA from 1 species
GACGAACCGUGCGAACGUUGUUCGGAAUCACUGGGCUUAAAGGGCGCGUAGGCGGCCGAUCAAGUCAGGCGUGAAAUUCCCGGGCUCAACCUGGGGGCUGCGCUUGAUACUGAUUGGCUUGAAUGCGGGAGAGGAUAGUGGAAUUCCCAGUGUAGAGGUGAAAUUCGUAGAUAUUGGGAAGAACACCGGUGGCGAAGGCGGCUAUCUGGCCCGUAAUUGACGCUGAGGCGCGAAAGCGUGGGGAGCAAACAGGG